rnacentral:rRNA from 1 species
AGACCCGAAACCCGGUGAUCUAGCCAUGGGCAGGUUGAAGGUUGGGUAACACUAACUGGAGGACCGAACCGACUAAUGUUGAAAAAUUAGCGGAUGACCUGUGGCUGGGGGUGAAAGGCCAAUCAAACCGGGAGAUAGCUGGUUCUCCCCGAAAGCUAUUUAGGUAGCGCCUCGUGAAUUCAUCUCCGGGGGUAGAGCACUGUUUCGGCCAGGGGGCCAUCCCGGCUUACCAAUCCGAUGCAAACUGCGAAUACCGGAGAAUGUUAUCACGGGAGACACACGGCGGGUGCUAACGUCCGUCGUGAAGAGGGAAACAACCCAGACCGCCAGCUAAGGUCCCAAAGUCAUGGUUAAGUGGGAAACGAUGUGGGAAGGCCCAGACAGCCAGGAUGUUGGCUUAGAAGCAGCCAUCAUUUAAAGAAAGCGUAAUAGCUCACUGGUCGAGUCGGCCUGCGCGGAAGAUGUAACGGGGCUAAACCAUGCACCGAAGCUGCGGCAGCGAACGUAUCACCCAAGACAACUUUGCACAGUUGACGAUUGACGGAGCGAAGCGACGUCAAAGCGUUUUACAACGUCGAGUUGGCUUAGGGAUACGUUCGUUGGGUAGGGGAGCGUUCUGUAAGCCGUUGAAGGUGUGUCGUGAGGCAUGCUGGAGGUAUCAGAAGUGCGAAUGCUGACAUAAGUAACGAUAAAGCGGGUGAAAAGCCCGCUCGCCGGAAGACCAAGGGUUCCUGUCCAACGUUAAUCGGGGCAGGGUGAGUCGACCCCUAAGGCGAGGCCGAAAGGCGUAGUCGAUGGGAAACGGGUUAAUAUUCCCGUACUUGGUGUUACUGCGAAGGGGGGACGGAGAAGGCUAUGUUGGCCGGGCGACGGUUGUCCCGGUUUAAGCGUGUAGGCUGACUUUCCAGGCAAAUCCGGAGAGUCAAGGCUGAGGCGUGACGACGAGGCACCACGGUGCUGAAGCAACAAAUGCCCUGCUUCCAGGAAAAGCCUCUAAGCCUCAGGUAACAUCAAAUCGUACCCCAAACCGACACAGGUGGUCAGGUAGAGAAUACCAAGGCGCUUGAGAGAACUCGGGUGAAGGAACUAGGCAAAAUGGUGCCGUAACUUCGGGAGAAGGCACGCUGACACGUAGGUGAAGCGGUUUACCCGUGGAGCUGAAGUCAGUCGAAGAUACCAGCUGGCUGCAACUGUUUAUUAAAAACACAGCACUGUGCAAACACGAAAGUGGACGUAUACGGUGUGACGCCUGCCCGGUGCCGGAAGGUUAAUUGAUGGGGUCAGCGCAAGCGAAGCUCCUGAUCGAAGCCCCGGUAAACGGCGGCCGUAACUAUAACGGUCCUAAGGUAGCGAAAUUCCUUGUCGGGUAAGUUCCGACCUGCACGAAUGGCGUAAUGAUGGCCAGGCUGUCUCCACCCGGGACUCAGUGAAAUUGAACUCGCUGUGAAGAUGCAGUGUACCCGCGGCAAGACGGAAAGACCCCGUGAACCUUUACUAUAGCUUGACACUGAACACUGGUCCUUGAUGUGCAGGAUAGGUGGGAGGCUUUGAAGUGUGGACGCCAGUCUGCAUGGAGCCAUCCUUGAAAUACCACCCUUUAAUGGCUGGUGUUCUAACGUGGACCCGUAAUCCGGGUUGCGGACAGUGUCUGGUGGGUAGUUUGACUGGGGCGGUCUCCUCCUAAAGAGUAACGGAGGAGCACGAAGGUUGGCUAAUCCUGGUCGGACAUCAGGAGGUUAGUGCAAUGGCAUAAGCCAGCUUGACUGCGAGCGUGACGGCGCGAGCAGGUGCGAAAGCAGGUCAUAGUGAUCC